GUGGGGAAUCUUGCGCAAUGGGCGAAAGCCUGACGCAGCCAUGCCGCGUGAAUGAUGAAGGUCUUAGGAUUGUAAAAUUCUUUCACCGGGGACGAUAAUGACGGUACCCGGAGAAGAAGCCCCGGCUAACUUCGUGUCAGCAGCCGCGGUAAUACGAAGGGGGCUAGCGUUGCUCGGAAUUACUGGGCGUAAAGGGCGCGUAGGCGGACAGUUUAGUCAGAGGUGAAAGCCCAGGGCUCAACCUUGGAAUUGCCUUUGAUACUGGCUGUCUUGAGUACGGGAGAGGUCAGUGGAAUUCCGAGUGUAGAGGUGAAAUUCGUAGAUAUUCGGAAGAACACCAGUGGCGAAGGCGACUGACUGGACAAGUAUUGACGCUGAGGUGCGAAAGCGUGGGGAGCAAACAGGAUUAGAUACCCCAGUAGUCC
rnacentral:rRNA from 1 species